rnacentral:rRNA from 1 species
GACGAACGCUGGCGGCGUGCCUAAUACAUGCAAGUAGAACGCUGAAGAGAGGAGCUUGCUCUUCUUGGAUGAGUUGCGAACGGGUGAGUAACGCGUAGGUAACCUGCCUGGUAGCGGGGGAUAACUAUUGGAAACGAUAGCUAAUACCGCAUAAUAUUGACUAUUGCAUGAUAGUUGAUUAAAAGGUGCAAUUGCACCACUACCAGAUGGACCUGCGUUGUAUUAGCUAGUUGGUGGGGUAACGGCUCACCAAGGCGACGAUACAUAGCCGACCUGAGAGGGUGAUCGGCCACACUGGGACUGAGACACGGCCCAGACUCCUACGGGAGGCAGCAGUAGGGAAUCUUCGGCAAUGGACGGAAGUCUGACCGAGCAACGCCGCGUGAGUGAAGAAGGUUUUCGGAUCGUAAAGCUCUGUUGUAAGAGAAGAACGAGUGUGAGAGUGGAAAAGUUCACACUGUGACGGU